CGCGCGAGCUGGGUUCUUACCACUCCAUGAAACUUGAAUGGAGCAGGGGUUCCAGGUGAUGGUGGUAGCUGAGAGUCCGGAGUACUGGAGACAGGCAGUGCCCCCAGCAUGAUCAGUCAGGAGAAGAUGAAGUCCCAUGGAACUGACGCAGAUGUUGGAUACAGGCAUCAGAACCCUUACUUCAGCAUGGGUAGUGUUUUUUGUAGGGAAAGAACAAUGGUUCAAGGGAGAACACUAGAUUUGGGGUUUCCAGCUGUAGAUCACCUCCCUGCAGAUUCAACUAAUGCACCUAUCUUCAAGACAUAAGUGGGCAUAGGACACAUGCUUCUCAUUGGUAUGUCCCAUUUGCUAGCUUAGCCAGCUCCUUCUCUAGCAUGCAUCCGACUAAGUGGGUAUUCACCCACAAAAGCUCAUGCUCCAAUACGUCUGUUAGUCUAUAAGGUGCCACAGGACUCUUUGCUGCUUCUUUAGCAUGUGGCUGUUGUGGAACUCACCAUCAAGCACCUCUGUCUCAGUCUCCCCUAGGUACUUAACUCAGAAUCGGUGGAUUCCACUGAUUUUCUAAGUGCGGUGACACUCCAGUUUGGAUCCAGACAAGGCUUCCUGACUAACAUUAUACUAUGUAUAGAAGGUCCCAUUGGAUCUCCAGUGCCUUCAGCCCAGUUACUCAAGCUCUGUGCAUGACGGUUUGGCAUGUCUGCCUGGGUCACGUCCUUUUGCUCCAAUGACUGAUUAUCCAAAAUGAAACAGCUUCAACAGGAGAGAUUAAGAAGGCAACAUCCCAUAGUUUAGGGCAUCUACAUAAGAGGGGUGAGACCCCGUUCAAUGUCUUUCUCCCCAGCUGGCAGAGAAAAUAAUUGAAGCUUGGUCUUCUUAUCCCAGGUGAGUAUUCUAACCACUAGACUGAUGGCUACAAGAGAGCUAAUAUUUGCACCUCUUCCAGCUGGAUUCUGAAGGGAGCCUGAUUCUAUGGGUGUCCUCAGAGCCACUUACUGGAUUGGGAACUGCAGGUAACAGGUAUUCUCCUCCCCUCCUCCACCCCACGUUCCCAUGGAUAAUGCUGGGGCUUAAGUGUCCAGAUACCUAGAGUGAGCCAGCAGUUUGCAUGCUCAGAGGCAGAAAUUUAGGUACCUAGGGAAUUUUUACAGCAGACAUUUAGGUUACAAGUGUGUCUAGGCUCCUACAGAGUAAGGCAGAAGCUGAGAGGGGGUUUUGUGGAUUUGUGAUACCCAAAAUUGGGAUUGUGGUGCCUAAAUCCCUUUGCAAAUCUGGGCCUUAUUGGCUUUGUAAAACAAUGUAAUAAUACUGUCAAUACUUGGGCAUAUUUUUCAACUGAUUUCAUAGAUUAUUUUAUUUAUCAUGCCUGCAUUCUGAUUCUAAUAACUUCUAUUACUUCCAUUACUGAAAGAAUUGGCUCCUUGAUUUAACUGUACCAAAUUAUCCCAAUGACAUUUAAGGCUCUUCCAUUUAUCUAAAUUUACUUUCAGCAAAAGCUUACAUGUUCUGCCAGAUCUUCAGCUGGCAUAGAUGAGGGUAAUUCUUUUGACUUUAACCAGUUACAGAUCUGUACCAUAAUACCACUUGAAGGUCCUUCAGAAGUGUGGGAAACCUUCCCUAUACUUUUUACAUGAGAAAUAUCAGUUUCAAAUGAAGAUUUAUUUUUAAUUAAAAACAAAACAAAAAAAACUUUUCAUUAGACCAUCAGAGUGCUCUGUGUCCAGAGAUAAUCCAAAUUUUCCCUUGUAAAUCCUUAAAGAAAAAUCUUACAUAUUGUAACCAAUGAAACCACUAGGGGAACAGAAAAUAUUUCCAAAUGUCACUAAUUUAAUACAGAAUAAUGUUCUGUUCCGAAUACUAUAAGGAAGUUUAUAGAAACUUCUUUCGUUCUAUAGAAAGAUCAACAUUUUAUAUUCAAUUGUAUAGGACAUCUCUAUAGGAUGUAUUUCUGCAUGUGUAAUCUAUAAAACAUUAAAGUUCUCAACCUAAACUUUUGCAUUUUAAACCAGAACGUGUAAGACUAAGCUUAACACACUGCAAUUUGCCUUUCAUUUUGAACUACAAAUUGAACCUUUUAUAUUACUGUACUGUAUCCUGAACAUGAUGUUCUGUAGGCUUCUAUUAGUUUAGAUUGGCUGCUAUGGAAACUGGAGUGUGUGUGUGUGUGGAGGGGGGUUUAACCCAAGUCAUUUGUCUUUUUCCUCAUUUCUUUAAAACAAAAUUCAAUAAUGGCCUAAACAAGUAAAGACAACAUAUUGUUUGGGAGGGGUAACUGAUCAGUCUAGAAUUUUGGGAGUGUGGAGUAUAUUUAGCAUUCACAAAAAGCGACAGAUAUGCACUGAUGUCCUCUAUUUAUACUGAGAACAUGUUUGUUGUUAUAUGUUAAAAAUUUUACACCACCGGGAGAGCAUUUUAGGAGCACAUCUAGAGUCAGCAUAACUGAUGGAAGAAUUCAUUCUCUCUCUCCUUGGAAAAUAUGGGAGUUCAAGGUGGUGAAGACAGGAUGUUCAUCAAAGUAGUUGAAAAUGAAUGCAUUGCUCCCUUGAGGAUACUCUGAAUUCUAACUCUGGAACUACUAAUGUCAGAUAUUUGGACUUUUAGGGUCUUGAUUAUUAACAAAAUAAUUAUAUAAAAUUAUGUGCCCAUUUUGCAUGUGCAAUUGUAUUCCUAAUUUAUAUUUCCAUAUGAUUCCACAACUAAAUGGAUAAUUUGUAUGCAGAAAUAUUCACGAAAAUACAUAACUGGCCAUUUGUACACAGCAUCAGCUGAUUUAUGUGAGCAAUCAUGGUAACUGAGUGGGUAAAUUAGAGCUUUGUUUCUUGUAACCUCUAUAUCUAUUCCCAGCUGCAUGAUGUACACAACCGCUGCUCCACACGGAGAAUAAACUUGUAGGCCAUGAACCAAGAUAUGUUUGCAUUGUAUGAAGGUCAUGUCACCAUUAUGAUCUGUAUCCUGUUUUGAAUUUACAAUGCAAAAUCUUUUCAAGUAUUCUCCCUCAUCAAUGUCCACAGUAGCGAUCUUAUUUCCAGGGGAACAAAGGGAUUACUGGGUUGCAGGUCCUUUGCUACUCACCUAGAUAUUAGUAUAUAUCAGGGGUGAAAGUGAGCCAGUAUGGGCCAGUACGGUGUGCCGGUAAGAACCCUCACUGGCCCAUACCCAGCCCACAUUAAAGCACUGCUGCUGCAGCGCUUUAAAGACGGUCCUUUGCCGCAGUAGCGUUUUAACAUACCCCCCCCCAGAACAUUAAAGCACUGCCAUGGCAAAGGACCCUGCAGCGCUUUAAUGUCCCUGCCCUUUUUGCCCCCCCACCCCGCAGCCACCGACGGGUGAGGGGGGGCAAAGGGAGCAGUUGUCCUGGGGCCGGCGAUUUAAAAGGACCCAUGGCUCUGGACGCUGCUUCCGCUAGCACAGCAGCGGCGUCUGGAGCCCUAGGCCCUUUAAAUCAGCACGGGAGCCCUGGGCGGUGUGGGCCAGGCGCCCUGGAAGGGCUGGUUGGGGGAUGCUGACCCCCCCAAUCCCACCC